rnacentral:rRNA from 1 species
GUGAGGAAUUUUCCGCAAUGGGCGAAAGCCUGACGGAGCAAUGCCGCGUGAAGGAUGAAGGCCUAUGGGUUGUAAACUUCUUUUCUUAGAGAAGAAUAUUGACGGUAUCUGAGGAAUAAGCACCGGCUAACUCCGUGCCAGCAGCCGCGGUAAUACGGAGGGUGCAAGCGUUAUCCGGAUUCACUGGGUUUAAAGGGUGCGUAGGCGGAUAAAUAAGUCAGUGGUGAAAUCAACGGGCUCAACCUGUUAACUGCCAUUGAUACUGUGUAUCUUGAAUAUGAGAGAGGUAGGCGGAAUGUUGCAUGUAGCGGUGAAAUGCUUAGAUAUGCUACGGAACACCGAUUGCGAAGGCAGCUUACUAUUUCGUAAUUGACGCUGAGGCACGAAAGCGUGGGUAGCGAACAGGAUUAGAAACCCUUGUAGUCC